UGCAUCGAUGAAGAACGCAGCGAAAUGCGAUAAGUAAUGUGAAUUGCAGAAUUCAGUGAAUCAUCGAAUCUUUGAACGCACCUUGCGCCCCUUGGUAUUCCGAGGGGCAUGCCUGUUUGAGUGUCAUUA
rnacentral:rRNA from 1 species